UACGGAGGGUGCAAGCGUUAUCCGGAUUCACUGGGUUUAAAGGGUGCGUAGGUGGGUUUGUAAGUCAGUGGUGAAAUCUCCGAGCUUAACUUGGAAACUGCCAUUGAUACUAUAGAUCUUGAAUUUUCUGGAGGUAAGCGGAAUAUGUCAUGUAGCGGUGAAAUGCUUAGAUAUGACAUAGAACACCAAUUGCGAAGGCAGCUUUCUACAGGAAUAUUGACACUGAGGCACGAAAGCGUGGGUAGCAAACAGG
rnacentral:rRNA from 1 species